rnacentral:lncRNA from 7 species
AGCUCUCAGCUGCCAGGAGCCCGGAGGGAGGGAGGGAGCAGCACGCAGCCUGGGAGGCAGCUGGGAUGAGAGACGCACGACGUAUAUAUUUUCCAUUUUCUCAUCUGAAUUACGAGCUCCAAUAAAUAAGGCUGGAAAUCUCACGCAGCGCCGACCUCCUCCCAGGUAUCCCACGCUCGGAGCCAGCGGAGGUGGCAGCAGGUCUGUCACUUUGCAGCGGGGCCGCUGUAAUUAUGCUGUGGGAAGCAGAGCUCACUUCGCCGAACCCUGAGCGGAUUAAGGAUCCUCCGUGCCUUUUCCCACCCCUCUCUGCCAGGGAAGGAGACGCCUGGAGGAGCUCUGAGGGGGUGAAGCAGCCUGCAGGAGAUCUGCUGCCUUCUCCCCGCUGGUGCUCCCCUCCAGCUCCUUCUGGAUGCAUGGCACGGGCUCUGCUUGCUGCUAGAUCACCCCUUCCCAUCAACACGUCUGCAACACCGGGACCUUCUCCUUCAGAGCUCACCCUGAGCUGCUGCAUGCAGGGUGCUCCCCAGCACACGGGGAGGUCUGUGCAAGGCAGCAGCUUCCAGCCCGAGCUGCCGUUGUGCUCUGUGUGCAGCAGGGAGGUGUAUCAUUAAUCUAUUAAUUAUUCACACUGCGCCAGACGGGCGCGCGGAAGAUCAGACGGGGAUUGCUGGCUCCCAGCGAGCUCCUCGACUCUCCUUAUGUCAAGAAUUGCUCUUCAGUCACAGGCACGUUGUCACCGGCCACCUGCAUGUGACAGGACAAUCUUUGUUAAAAUCCCAAUUAGCAGAUAAUAAGGGCGGCACGAAACCACAUUCUCCCAAGCCAGAUUGGCACCCGCCCUCCUAUUUUUUUUCCUUUCUCUUUAUUUUUUGUCCUUUCCCUUUCUAAAAUGGAUGUUUCUCGCCAAGACUUCAGGGCAAGAGGCAGCUCAGGCUUUCAGUAGGAACAACUGGAGAAAGCUAGAGGAGCUCAUGGUCUACCUGGUGCAAGGCAUGGAGAGAAGAAGCUACAGAAAGAGGUCUGAAGAAGUGGAAGCCUCCACUGAAUGCCACGUCGUCCCAUGGCCCCCUUGUAAACAAGGCAGGGCUCCCAGUGCCUCAGCACAAGGCUUUAAAGGCAUUGCUCCACUCUUUUGGAUUAGUGACCCAUUCUAACAGGUCCUCAUUGACCGCCAUCGCGGGUCUCUCAAAGAGUCCAUUGGGCGCAGCUUACAAAGGAGCUGAGCCGGAGAUGAAGAGUUUACAAAAAGUUUGUAGGAAACCGUGGAGUCCUUUUAAAAGAGAAUAAACUGCCACUGCUGUGUCU